AACGAACGCUGGCGGCAUGCCUAACACAUGCAAGUCGAACGAGACCUUCGGGUCUAGUGGCGCACGGGUGCGUAACGCGUGGGAACCUGCCCUUAGGUUCGGAAUAACUCCCCGAAAGGGGUACUAAUACCGGAUAAUGUCUUCGGACCAAAGAUUUAUCGCCUUUGGAUGGGCCCGCGUUGGAUUAGCUAGUUGGUAGGGUAAAAGCCUACCAAGGCGACGAUCCAUAGCUGGUCUGAGAGGAUGAUCAGCCACACUGGGACUGAGACACGGCCCAGACUCCUACGGGAGGCAGCAGUGGGGAAUAUUGGACAAUGGGCGAAAGCAUGAUCCAGCAAUGCCGCGUGAGUGAUGAAGGCCUUAGGGUUGUAAAGCUCUUUUACCCGGGAUGAUAAUGACAGUACCGGGAGAAUAAGCUCCGGCUAACUCCGUG
rnacentral:rRNA from 1 species